AGAGGCCUCCCUUCCGAGGAGGCGGUGCUGGGGCGGGCGCAGGACUGCAGGCUGGGGCUCCGCUCCCCGGCGGGAGCCCGCGCGUGGUUCCCAGCGAAGUCCCCGCGCGGCUGGGCCCAGCGAGGAUGAGGCUGUCACUACUACAGUUGGGACUGUUUCAUACUCCGUGCUCUUGUGCUAUGCCAGGGGGUACUGUCUAACCCACAAGUCUCUGCCAGGAAUGUUGCUGUCCACACUGGAGUGUAAGACACCUGCGGAGCUCGUCUAUGGGGCUCAUGUUGGCUGAGGCUCUGAACUACAGAACUGCAAACAACCAAGGGAGCGCCCCAGGCCCCAGGCUUCUAAUGUGAGGAAAAACACGGAAUGACAAGUGUGGGAAAGAGCAAGCACUAAAUUACUGUCAGAAAAAUAAACGGAGUAGCACAGUGCUGCUCGGUGAUUUACGGGGGCAAUUAGUCACCACCCCACGGCGCUGCUGAGGACAGCACGGCAGCAGACAAGUCAGGCCCAUGAGGAAGAAGAGGCUUUGCACUGCUCUCCAGACAACUUUUCAAACAACAAGAGAGGAUAUUUGAGCACAUUAGGUUUUGUGUCUUCAUUCUGGGUACCUACUCUUCAUAUUAUUCUACCAACUUAAUACAUAAACAUAUUUUUAGCACAAUAUGAACCUGUUCUAUGUGUGUUUAAAAGCCUCCAGCAGCAACUUUUUUCUCUCCCACUGUCCAAAGUUGGGUUUUCCCCAUCCCUUAAAAAACAAAACAAAAAAACCUUUCUUCACUCCAAAUUGUCCCCCUGGUGUGUGGUUUUGGUCUUUCUCAUUACUUCUUGCAUCUUGCUACAUGUUCUGCAUUUGCUCAGAGCCACUGGGUGCUAAGGAAUUUGGUCUGCUGCUCCUCUGGGAAAGUUUGGUAAGCUGGUACAAGGAGGUGAUGAACAAGGCUAAAUGAAAAUCAUACAUAAACUUCCCAAUAUUUGUGAACAUGUUCUUUAACAUACCAUACAUAGUUUCUAUGUAUAUGUAACAUAGCAAAACAAACUUGCUAAGGUAUAAUUAAUUGGUAUGCAUGCCUUCAUAAAUAUUCACCAUCAGAAGAAACCUAGAAUGAAAGGUUGUGAAAGAACCCAGGAAUGAGAAAGACUUUAUUGACUAAAGGCCAUGUCUAUGUAGGGGCAACAAUGAAGCUGUGGGUGAGCAAAUGAAGCUUCAUCAGGAGUUUAGUAUCCUUAUGUAGCAUUACCUAAGAAUGCUACCAUAGUAAAUUUCUGAAGUACUUUACCUGUUACAAAGAACGUUUGUAAUCUCCUUUUCUUAUUUGAUCUUGCCCUGGCUUUAGUCAGGAACACCUGCUCAGUUAGAAAUGUAUUCGGUGGGUAUGUACGCAGUUGGAGAAUGUGCCCCAACACACGCCGCCUUUGGCCUGUAUGUUGGAGUCCUAGAGAGGCAGACAAUGUUGAUGAGCUUGGUACCAGCAUGGUGCGCCAUUCAUCCGGACACAAUUUCUGAUAAAGAGGGUCACAACUGGGAGAAACCUCAGAUUCUACUUGCUUCUCUUCUCCACGUUAUUAGACUUUUUUUCCCCUCUUGAAUUUUAUAAGCACACUCCUUUUAAAACAAUUAAUUAAUAACGAGCACUGGGAUUUGAUGUAGAAUUGCGUAUUUGUAACUGCAAUGGCACUGGUUUUCAACUACCCUGUAACAAGGAAGCAAUUCUAACCAGCAAAAGAGGCAGACGUGUUUCUGUGCAACAUCACAGGCGUGUGAAAUUGUUCAGAUAUUGAGAUAUCAGGAGUGAUAUAAAUUGGAAAUUUAACCAAAAAUAUUUUCCAUCAGUGAACAAAGCCGAUUUUAAAGUGCCUCUUGCAUUUUUCAGAUCUUUCUCUUUCUUUUUCCCAAAGUCACAUUGUAGUUUCUGAUAAAGGAACACACUGGGAAAACUAAGCACAUAUUUAAUCAAUGAAAUUUAAGGUGUAAAAAUUCUGCAUUUCUGACAAAUUUAAUGUUCACUUUUUUCUUGAUUUAAAUAGAGCAUUCUAAAAAUAUUACCCCUAUAGGGGAUAAAUUUUUAUAUGCAUGUUAUUUUUCUUUACAAAGUGUGGGCUAGUAAAGAGUGAAAAA
ensembl:lncRNA LINC02609 long intergenic non-protein coding RNA 2609